rnacentral:rRNA from 1 species
GAACGCUGGCGGCGUGCCUAAUACAUGCAAGUCGAACGAGGUGCUUUUGUAGCAAUACGAGAGUAUCCUAGUGGCGAACGGGUGAGUAACGCGUUGGUGACCUACCCCAAAGUGUGGGAUAACAGUCCGAAAGGAUUGCUAAUACCGCAUGUGGUCUUCGGAUUUAGAAACUGAUGACUAAAGGAGCAAUUCGCUUUGGGAGGGACCUGCGUCCCAUCAGCUAGUUGGUGAGGUAAUGGCUCACCAAGGCGACGACGGGUAGGGGACCUGAGAGGGUGGCCCCCCACAAUGGAACUGAAACACGGUCCAUACACCUACGGGUGGCAGCAGUAGGGAAUAUUGCUCAAUGGGCGAAAGCCUGAAGCAGCAACGCCGCGUGUGCGAUGAAGGCCUUCGGGUCGUAAAGCACUUUUCUGAGAGAUGGGAAAGGACAGUAUCUCAGGAAUAAGUCUCGGCUAACUACGUGCCAGCAGCCGCGGUAAAACGUAGGAGGCAAGCGUUAUCCGGAUUCACUGGGCGUAAAGCGCGUGCAGGCGGUGCGGUAAGUUGGGCGUGAAAUCUCCCGGCUCAACUGGGAUAGGUCGUCCAAUACUACCGUACUUGAGAGCAGAAGAGGAAAAUGGAAUUCCCGGUGUAGUGGUGAAAUGCGUAGAUAUCGGGAGGAACACCAGUGGCGAAGGCGAUUUUCUGGUCUGUUUCUGACGCUCAGACGCGACAGCUAGGGUAGUAAACGGGAUUAGAGACCCCGGUAAUCCUAGCCGUAAACGAUGUGAACUUGGCGUUGGUGGGUUAAACUCCAUCAGUGCCGUAGCAAACGCGAUAAGUUCACCGCCUGGGGACUACG